rnacentral:rRNA from 1 species
GACGAACGCUGGCGGCGUGCUUAACACAUGCAAGUCGAACGGUGAAGGGACCGGUUUUUGCUGGUUCUGGAUGAGUGGCGAACGGGUGAGUAACACGUGAGUAACCUGCCCCCUUCUUCUGGAUAACCGCAUGAAAGUGUGGCUAAUACGGGAUAUUCUGCGCCUGCUGCAUGGUGGGUGUGGGAAAGAUAUUGUUUCGGUGGGGGAUGGGCUCGCGGCCUAUCAGCUUGUUGGUGGGGUGAUGGCCUACCAAGGCGGUGACGGGUAGCCGGCCUGAGAGGGUGGCCGGUCACACUGGGACUGAGACACGGCCCAGACUCCUACGGGAGGCAGCAGUGGGGAAUAUUGCACAAUGGGCGCAAGCCUGAUGCAGCGACGCCGCGUGAGGGAUGGAGGCCUUCGGGUUGUAAACCUCUUUCGCCAGUGAAGCAGGCCUGUCCCUUUUGUGGGUGGGUUGACGGUAGCUGGAUAAGAAGCGCCGGCUAACUACGUG